rnacentral:rRNA from 1 species
GACGUAGGUGGCGAACGUUAUCCGGAAUCAUUGGGCGUAAAGGGUGCGUAGAUGGCAUAGUAAGUUAUUGGUUGGGAAAAUCGAGGCCUCAACCUCGUGGAAGCUGGUAAUACUGCUAUGCUAAAGAGUUCAGGAGAGGUUAACGGAACUCCAUGUGGAGCGGUAAAAUGUGUAGAUAUAUGGAAGAACACCAAUAACGGCGAAGGCAGUUAACUAUUCUGUUACUGAACAUUGAGGCACGAAAGCGUGGGGAGCCAAAACGG